GGGUGAUUAGCUCAGUGGUAGAGCGCUGCCUUCACACGGCAGAGGCCAUAGGUUCGAUCCCUAUAUCACCCA
rnacentral:tRNA from 1 species